UCCAGCUGACAGAUGGUCUUCUAACUGGCGUGUGAAAACUCCAACAAAAGAGGUACCACAAAUCCCCAGGCAGUCUCUUCAAGAGCUUUGAUAUCCUGACUCCCGAGUUCAGAUGCCUGUCAGUCCUAUUUUAAAGGAAUAUCUGAAAAUCUGAGCUAGUCUGAAGGUGUUUUUUGUUGAAGUAGCUGUUCUGGUCUACUUUCACUGUCCUGUGCUCUCCUGCGCUACUGUUGAAGCAGCCCUGCUCCUGGAUGCUGGUUUUGAAUUCCUGCCAAAAUAGUGUUUACUCUCUCCAGUCCGUCUGAUUUCCAUGCUGGCACUGCUGGGACUGCAGCAGGGGAAGAACCAAGGUGUGUUUCUGAGAUACUCUGUUAGCUCUCCCACAUGAGAGGCAUGCAACGGGGAGGCAGAAUCUGCUGAUCGAAGCAGUGGGAAAGCCCCUCCCCACUUAAUAUUAGAUCUGGCGCCUUGAUUUCCUUCUCACUGAGACAUUCCAUCCAUCUCCAGCACAAUGACUAACACUGCUUUGCUGCACAAUAAACACGGUGACCCAGCUCUCUGGAUUGUUCGCUUGGAGGACAAGCGUUCAGCCCACCUUGGAAAGGACAAACUGCCUGUCAAGGCAAAGGAAGUAACAGGGUGAUUCAGAGCCAGGACACCCAGAUCCAGCCACCUUUGCAAAAAAGUAAAAAUAAAGGUCAUCUUUAGAUUUCAAUCAAGAUUAGAAUUUCCCAGGUUUGGGCUUGUUUUAAUAGGGGGGCUGAACCAGAAUGCUAAACUGAAACUUCCUGGCCCACUGGGGAUAUUUUAGCUUUGGAGUAAAAUCUUGUUUCAAGUUCUGCAGGUUCAGAGCCCUUUCUUGUAAUAACUCCAUAUCACACUUGAAUAAACUGAUAGUGAAUGUCAGCAUUGCAGCUGGGUCUAUGCUUUAUAACAGUGUCAUCUGCAAUGUUUAGGGAUGAGGAUUUGGUCUAAAAGACUACUACUGUGAACACUACU